rnacentral:rRNA from 1 species
CCUACGGGAGGCUGCAGUGGGGAAUAUUGGGCAAUGGAGGAGACUCUGACCCAGCAAAGCCGCGUGAAUGAUGAAGGUCUUCGGAUUGUAAAGCUCUUUUCUAAGGGAAGAAGAAAGUGACGGUACCUUAGGAAUAAGCCUCGGCUAACUACGUGCCAGCAGCAGCGGUAAUCCGUAGGAGGCGAGCGUUAUCAGGAUUGACUGGGCGUAAAGGGUGCGUAGGUGGUUUGGCAAGUUAGUAGCGAAACUCCAAGGCUCAACCUUGGAACUACUACUAAAACUGGUUGACUUGAGUGCGGGAGGAGCAACCGGAAUUCCUGGUGUAGCGGUGGAAUGCGUAGAUAUUAGGAUGAACACCAGUGGCGAAGGCGGGUUGCUAGACUGUAACUGACGCUGAGGCACGAAAGCGUGGGGAGCAAACAGGAUUAGAUACCCCGGUAGUC